rnacentral:rRNA from 1 species
GACGAACGCUGGCGGCGUGCUUAACACAUGCAAGUCGAGCGGUAAGGCCCUUUCGGGGGUACACGAGCGGCGAACGGGUGAGUAACACGUGGGUGACCUGCCCCCAGCUCUGGGAUAAGCCUGGGAAACCGGGUCUAAUACUGGAUAUGACUCCAUGACGCAUGUUGGUGGGGUGGAAAGCCUUGUGCGGCUGAGGAUGGGCCCGCGGCCUAUCAGCUUGUUGGUGGGGGUGAUGGCCUACCAAGGCGACGACGGGUAGCCGGCCUGAGAGGGCGACCGGCCACACUGGGACUGAGACACGGCCCAGACUCCUACGGGAGGCAGCAGUGGGGAAUCUUGCGCAAUGGGCGAAAGCCUGACGCAGCGACGCCGCGUGAGGGAUGACGGCCU